CCUACGGGUGGCAGCAGUGAGGAAUAUUGGUCAAUGGACGAGAGUCUGAACCAGCCAAGCCGCGUGAAGGAUGAAUGCCCUAGGGGUGGUAAACUUCUUUUAUAUGGGCAUAAAACAUGGUAUGCAUACCCUCUUGAGUGUACCAUAUGAAUAAGCAUCGGCUAACUCCGUGCCAGCAGCCGCGGUAAUACGGAGGAUCCGAGCGUUAUCCGGAUUUAUUGGGUUUAAAGGGAGCGUAGGUGGGGUGUUAAGUCAGUUGGGAAAGUUCGGGGCUCAACCGUAGAAUUGCAGUUGAAACUGGCAGUCUUGAGUGCAGGAGAGGUAGGCGGAAUUCGGGGUGUAGCGGUGAAAUGCGUAGAUAUACCGAAGAACUCCGAUGGCGAAGGCAGAUCGCUGGACUGCAACUGACGCUGAGGCGCGAAAGUGUGGGUAUCAAACAGGAUUAGAUACCCGAGUAGUC
rnacentral:rRNA from 1 species